rnacentral:rRNA from 1 species
CAAGAUGAGAUCUCCCAUUCGCAAGAAGUAAGACCCCUUAAAGACGAUAAGGUAGAUAGGCCGGAGAUGGAAGCGUAGCGAUACGUGGAGUUGACCGGUACUAAUCGGUCGAGGACUUAAUCAG